rnacentral:rRNA from 1 species
ACUCCUACGGGAGGCAGCAGUGGGGAAUAUUGGACAAUGGGGGCAACCCUGAUCCAGCAAUUCUGUGUGCACGAAGAAGGUUUUCGGAUUGUAAAGUGCUUUCAGCAGGGAAGAAGGAAGUGACGGUACCUGCAGAAGAAGCGACGGCUAAAUACGUGCCAGCAGCCGCGGUAAUACGUAUGUCGCGAGCGUUAUCCGGAAUUAUUGGGCAUAAAGGGCAUCUAGGCGGCCUAACAAGUCAGGGGUGAAAACCUGCGGCUCAACCGCAGGCCUGCCUUUGAAACUGUAAGGCUGGAGUACCGGAGAGGUGGACGGAACUGCACGAGUAGAGGUGAAAUUCGUAGAUAUGUGCAGGAAUGCCGAUGAUGAAGAUAGUCCACUGGACGGAAACUGACGCUGAAGUGCGAAAGCCGGGGGAGCGAACAGGAUUAGAAACCCCGGUAGUCCAGAAGUG